rnacentral:misc_RNA from 1 species
CAUAACAGGGCCUCCAAAAGCCGCACUAAUGGGAUCAUUAUGGCCUCCACCAAAAGCUUCUAAAGCACUAGCAAAGGCAAUGUCCCCAUCAUAUCCCUCACCUAGUCCUUCAGUGUAUUUCCGACAUCCUUUGUAGAACUUUAAACUCCUCUCCCUUAGCAAUUCAGCACUUUCCUCCAAGGAUUGCAUCUGCUUGCGAAACAUAGGAGAGUCGUCGAGCUUCGCGAAAGGCAUUUUUGAUACAGCGAUUCUUCCUCUCCUUACGAUAAAUUCUAAAAACCAUUACAACAAUGCUCGAUCUUGGUUGCUUGAAGCUAAUCUAAUGUCAUAACCACCUUCAAUCAUCAAAAUUAAGCUGAGAUCUUGACUUGUACCCCGAUCCUAAAGACACUCACCACGAGACCCCCCCCCAAAAAAAAAAAAAAAAGCAGAUAUCAACCUACUACUUAUAGAUAAUUAAGAAUCAGAGAUAGAAGAACUCGAUUAGCUGAGUUCCCGAGCUCCAAACACCAUUUUUUUUUUUUGGUUCUUUUUCUUUGUAGUUUCUUUGUUUGGUUGGUUUAAAACCCCUAGG